UACGUAGGGUGCAAGCGUUAAUCGGAAUUACUGGGCGUAAAGCGUGCGCAGGCGGUUGUGCAAAGACAGAUGUGAAAUCCCCGGGCUUAACCUGGGAACUGCGUUUGAAACUACAAGGCUAGAGUGUAGCAGAGGGGGGUGGAAUUCCACGUGUAGCAGUGAAAUGCGUAGAGAUGUGGAGGAACACCGAUGGCGAAGGCAGCCCCCUGGGUUAACACUGACGCUCAGGCACGAAAGCGUGGGGAGCAAACAGG
rnacentral:rRNA from 1 species